CAAAAAAAAAUAGCCUGAACCCAUCCCAGUUUCCUUUCUUCAGCUGGCCUUGGAGCACAAAACCAUAGUUACCGUUACGAGGUUUCAGCGAUGGCGAUCUUGCAGAGCGUAGCAUUCUACUAUGGCUACCAUACCAGUUAAUCCCAAGCCUUUUUUUUUAAUAUCUGUGAUUUAUCUCUGUAGCUGGCCAACACACAAGAGUACAUUGAGGGACAGUUUACUGGAAAUUUGGGAGAGAUUUUAAUCAGAUGUAACAAUGUUCUUUACCUUCGAGGAGUACCGGAGGAUGAAGAAAUCGAAGAUGCUGCAGAAGACUAGAGAGUGAUAAAUGCUGCUAAUUGUUAUGACAUAAACUGAACUCAAUUUUUUUUCACCGUUUUUGUAUUUUAGUUUAGAUUGUUGUUAUUUGUAGAGAUUCGAAUCUAUGAUGCACUCGCUUGUGAAUAGGAUAGGGUGCUUAUGUUCUAGUUCACGUUCCUUCAUGUGCUUCUCUGUAAAUCUCCUAAUGCAUUAUGGAUUUCAAAUAUUUCAAAUACGGGUGAGAUUGAGAUGA